rnacentral:rRNA from 1 species
UACAGAGGUCCCAAGCGUUGUUCGGAUUCAUUGGGCGUAAAGGGUGCGUAGGCGGCGCGGUAAGUCGGGUGUGAAAUCUCGGGGCUUAACUCCGAGACGUCGGCGGAAACCAUCUGGCUAGAGUCCGGAAGAGGAGAGUGGAAUUCCUGGUGUAGCGGUGAAAUGCGCAGAUAUCAGGAAGAACACCCGUGGCGAAGGCGGCUCUCUGGGACGGUACUGACGCUGAGACGCGAAAGCGUGGGGAGCGAACAGG